AUAAAAUCAAUAUCAAUUUGGGUAAAAGCAUCUGCCAAAAUAUGCAUCACUGUAAAUGUGUUGUUCACACAAGUCAGUAAUGUUGUUGCAUCAUGGCACAGCAUGAAGUCAGUUCUCCACAAUCUCAUUAACACGACCAACUAACCACAAACAAAUUAAAUACUGUCUUCCUCUUCAACACAUCUACUUGAUCUCGCAUUUCAAACCCAAACUUCUGUCUGUUAAAAGUUUUGCAUGUAGAAAGCGUAUGUGCAUUCUUAUUUCAAAUAAAUGACACUUGUUUUGAUGUUUAAUGCAGUAGCAUUUUUAAGCAUGUGCUUAAUGUCCAAAAACAUGUAGAGCAACUGGGUCUGUCUUCAAUACAUUUUCUGUUGCAGAUGCUCUAGAAAAGCUUGAUGAACCGGUUCUGUCAGGUCCGUCUGCUGCAUCAGAAGGUUCAGUUGUGGAUUUCUUCUGUGAUAUUCCUGGGAAACCAGCAGCAUUGUCUGUACACUAAGAGCUCUAUGUUGAGUCAAACCAGGGUGAGAUGAUUGGGGAGUGCUCCUCGCUCUCUGGAGAAAAAGCCACUAUUUCUCAGGUUAUCAGAAAACAACAUGACGCUAGACUCAUCUACAAGGCCAGCGGACACAAUAACACUGAUAUCAAGAGCUCGAUCAGUAAUGGCUUGGACUUCAGAGUCAUUGGUGAGAGUCUCAAAUCUGAUCAUCAGGAUCUUUUGAGGAGCGUUUGUUUCCAGAAGCUUUACUUUCACUGUUCCUCAGCGGAGGAAUGAUCUUCACAAGCCUCCAGAACAUCUCACAUCUUCUGAGGAGCCUUUAUUUCUUCAUCUCUCAAUCACUGCAUUAUAUGUUCGGAUCAUUUCAGUCUCAUCUUACUAAAUAAAGAUACAAUUUAUAAA